rnacentral:rRNA from 1 species
UAGCAACUGUUUAUCAAAAACACAGCUCUCUGCUAAACCGCAAGGUGAUGUAUAGGGGGUGACGCCUGCCCGGUGCUGGAAGGUUAAGAGGAGUGCUUAGACGUAAGUCGAAGGUAUGAAUUGAAGCCCCAGUAAACGGCGGCCGUAACUAUAACGGUCCUAAGGUAGCGAAAUUC